GGUUCUGUGGUCUAGCCGGUUAUGACAAAUGCUUAACACGCAUUAGGUCCCCAGUUCGAUCCUGGGCAGAAUCA
rnacentral:tRNA from 1 species